UUUUUCACUGGUUUUAUUCAUGUGGUUCUUCCUUUGGGCUUCCGUGGUGGGCAGCACCAGACGUGUCCCCCUGCACAGCAAUGGGGGGCAGCCGAGGGGCUCCUCUCUGCUGGCCUCUCCUCUUCCAGCCACACCGCACGCACAGGCACAGGCAGCGAUGGGACCGAAGCGGGGCACGCUCCUGGCCUCUCCCCCUCGGCGGGGAGCUAUCCGAGCCCUGCAGGGCAGGCAGCACAGCCCCAGCCGCACCCCAGCACGCUCCCACAGCCUGCUGGCACGGCCCCGCAGCCCUGCCCAAACCCCAGGGCACCUUGUCCAGCGCCCGGCCCGGGCCUGGGCUCCGCAUCAGCUGCUGCCCCCCACCCCCCCGCAGUGCUGCCCUGCCCGUGGCUCAGCAGGCAGGGGGUGCCCCAUGUCACAAAGGGGCAGGGACGGCCUUGGCCCCGGAACGCUGGCCCCAGCGGCACUUGGGCGCUUGGGCAGCCCUGCCAUGGCUGCCCGUGCUGACGGGGAGGCUGCUCGGCUGCCUGCUCCUCUGCUGCGGCUCCAGCCUCCGCUCUGGACACAAAGGCAACCAGAGGAACUCAGCUCCUCUCUCCUCCCUCCUCAGGCCCUCGCCUCCAACGGGAACUGAACCACCGCACGCUCCUGGCCGCUCCUUCCCAGCACGGGGCCGGACAGUUGUCCACGCUCUCCAGGACAGGUAACAUCACCCCGACCCACACCCUCCCACGCUCCCAUAGCAGGCAGCCAGCUGACAGGAUCAGGCCAGGAUGGCAGGGACAGCUCCAUCAGGACGACGGGACACGGACAGCCUCGGUGAGACUCUAGAGACCCUCAGGCAGAGAGGCAGGGGCUGCCCGUGCUCACAGGGGGAUGCUGCUGUGUUUGCUGCUUCUUCUCUUUCAGCCAGAAACACACAGCGAUGGCACCAGACCACAACACUCUCCUCCCUUACUGGCCACGACCACUCAGCUGGAAGGAAGAGCUGCCAACGCUCUCCAGGACAGGUAUGAUUGCCCCAACCCACACCCCAGCAUGAUCUCACAGCAAGCAGAAGACAGACAUGCUCAGGACAGGAAGGCAGUGAUGCUCCAUCAGGAUGACUGGAGAUGGACGGACGUGGUGAGAUGCUGGAGACCCUCGGGCAGAGAGGGGGCAGCAGCCCGUGGUCACAGGGGGAUGCUGCUCUGUUUGGUGCUUCUUCUCUUUCAGCCACAAUCACACAGCGAUGGGACCAGACCAUAGCACACUACCCCCUCACGGCCCUUGACCACUCAGCUGGAAGGAAGAGCUGCCAACGCUCUCCAGGACAGGUAAGAUUGCCCCAAGCCACCCCCACCAUGGUCCGCAGCAAGCAGGAAGGUGACAUGAUCGGGCCAGGAAGGCAGGAGCGCUCCAUCACGAUGACGAGAGAUGGACGGACGUGGUGAGUUGCUGGAGUCCCUCAGUCAGAGAGGCUGGGGCAGCUCGUGGGCACAGGGAGGUGCUGUUCAGUUUGUUCCUUCUCUUAUUGAAGGGCGGCAGAGACAGGAAUGAGAGUAGAGCCCUGCAUACUCCUGGCCUCUCUGCGCUGGAGAAGUCAGCUGCAAAAGCAGUCAGCGCUCUUCAGGACAGAUAAGAUCACCCCAAUCUAUUGCAAACCACGGUCUAAAUGCCCGGAAAGUGGGCGCAACGUGGCUGACCCGGGAAGGACGGCCUUGGAGUGAGGCUGGGAGAGCCUCAGGCUGGGAGGCAGGGGCUGCUCCUGGCCACAGGGGAAGGCUGCUCUCUCUUGGCUUCCUCUCUUAUAGCUGGAAAGACACCCAGCGAUGGGACCAGACCAUGGCACACUCCUGGUCUCGCUGCCCUUGAGAGAGAACUCAGCUGGGAGGAAGAGCUGCCAACGCUCUCCAGGACAGGUAAGAUUGCCCCAGACCAUUCCCCACUCCGGUCCACAGCAAGCAGGACAUUGACACGCUCGCACCAGGACAGCUGUGACAGCUCCAUCAGAACAAGGGGACACAGACAGCCUCGCCAGAAACACACAGGGAUGGGACCAGACCAUGGCACGAUCCUGCCCUCUCUGCCUGUGAGAACUCAGCUGGAAGGAAGAGCUGCCAACACUCUCCAGGACAGAUAAGCAAUCCCCAACCCACACCCCACCACACUCUCAUAGCUUGCCAGAGGGUGACAUGGCUGGGCUAUGAUGGGCAUCCCCUGGCCGUCAGGGAGAUGUGAGAUGGACGGCCCUGGAGUGUGGCUGGGAGAGCCUCGCACAGGGAGGAAGGGAUGGCUUGCAGUGCUGCCAGGGGGUGGCUGCUCGUUUUUUCGCCUCCUCUCUUACAGCUGGACACGCUGACAGUGAGGGAAUGACGCCACGACACAUUCCUGGCCUCUCUCUUUCAGCACUCUGGCGGAGAACUCACCACGCUCUCCAGAACAGAUAAGAUUGUCCCAGCCCAUUGCCCACCUCUAUGGUCUCACUGCCCUGGCCUAACACAGCUGACUCUUGGCUGUCAGCGAUGCACAGGAAGGAUGGCCUUGCUGUCGGGCUGGGAGUGUCUCACGCAGGGAGGCAGGGCCUGCCCCUGGCCGUGGGCUGGGGCUGCUCUUUUUGAUCAUUUUCCUUUCUCACCCCAUCACAGCGCCCCGAGGAGACCAAGGUCUGCCACUGUCCUUUCCCGCCUCUGCCCAGUUGCUCCACGGCCUGAAGGCUGCUGCAGCUUUCUACAACCACAGCCAUCGAAGGAGCAGCAAGCACACAGGGACCCCGCCUCUACCCUGACAUGGUCCUACAAGCACAACCACAGGCCCCGCAGCUAUGGACAAAGAGAGCUCGGCACGCCUCCAUGACACCGCACCCCACCCCACUGCACCCCAUGUCUCUCAAAUGUUACUCAAAUAAAGCUUCUGAUUCACAACCUCA